UCACCCAGUUGUCUGAGAUUCUCCCACUUUUUUGGUAAAUAGUAUCGGGAAGACGAAGAGUGAGAAUAGAAUCUCUCUGAGUUGUCUGAGAUUCUCUGAGUUGCCUUGGGAAUACGAGAAGCCUAAGUGCAGCGCAGGCUCAAAUGACAGCUCUAUACUGUUGGCAUGUGUGUGCCCUUGCAGUCCCUGGAUGCUCUCUCCAUAAGUAAGACCGGAACAGCAUACCCCUCUACCUCCAGCACCACCGGUGAGCUUCUUCUGGCAAGUGACCCUCUUUGUUUGCAAGUUACUCAUAUCCUCUCUUCUUCCACAUCUGCAUGGAGCAAUAGUAUUUGUUCUUAGUUUCAUUGUUGUUUUGCUUUAUUUUUAUUUCUGCUGGUUUUCAGAAGCUGGUUGGUAGGAUAUAGCACAAAGCAGUCAUGUUGUCCUACCAUGAUAUGAGUUUCAGAAACUGAAUGUUCUAUGAUUGCUUACCAUCAGUGUUUCUUUUCUGUUCUAAGAGACAUCAGUGGUUGAUUCAUAUUAGAUCUGCAUUUUAUCCCCCUAGUAGCAUCACAAAUGGAGCCUAGUAGUCAAUAGAUCCAGUCAGAAAAUUAUUUUCCCUAUGAUAGAUUUGCAUUUUUUGCAUACUCUCUCAUGUAGUACAUGGUAACCAUGGUUCGACAGCACCAGCUCUGAUUGAGCACACUGUUCAUAUUUGUUCGUCUUGUACAGCCGGGAGCGGACAAGACAGGGUGGGAGCGCCACCACGCACGAGGACAGAGAGGAAGACGACCGUCGAGGCGACGCAGGACUUAUUCAAGAUGAGUGAUCCAUGUGAAUGCUGCCAGAUCAAGCUUAAGUUUCUAAGGCAGAUCAAUGGCAACUUCACGCACAGCCUGGUCAUACCGGAGUGGUUUGUGAACCAAUUUGGAGGAAAGGUCUGGAGAACUGUCAAACUAGAGUCCCCUAAUGGUAACGUCUAUGAUGUUGGAGUUACCGGGAAUAUGAACCGAACAAUUUUGAAGUCUGGAUGGGCAUCAUUUGUUGAUGCCAAUAAAAUAGAAGAACAUUAUUCAUUGAUGUUUCGUUACCUUGAAAACGCCCGCUUCAAGGUUACAAUAUUCGAUUCCAGUGGUAAGCAGAAAGCAUCGUGCUGUGCUAGGAUGGGAACUGCUGGUCCUGAUGUUAGGAACCCAAGCACAUUUGAUGUUGAUAAUUCUAGUAGUUCUUGUGGUGGUACUACUCAGUCUUCACCAAGCUAAAGAUCAGAUUCAGAUGGAAGCCAAAAGGAAAGGUUGUACGGUUAUAAAAAAUCAGCAAAGAAGGCUGCAAUAUCAUAUUCUUCUGAGGAAUUAUCAGGUAAGUUGUGUACUGGGAUUAUUCAGUUACCUCCACCACAUGUCCUCUUACUGUUGAAACUU